GACGAACGCUGGCGGCGUGCUUAACACAUGCAAGUCGAACGGAAAGGCCCUGCUUUUGUGGGGUGCUCGAGUGGCGAACGGGUGAGUAACACGUGAGUAACCUGCCCUUGUCUUUGGGAUAACUUCAGGAAACUGGGGCUAAUACCGGAUAGGAGCUCCUGUUGCAUGGUGGGGGUUGGAAAGUUUCGGCGGUUGGGGAUGGACUCGCGGCUUAUCAGCUUGCUGGUGGGGUAGUGGCUUACCAACGCUGUGACGGGUCGCCGGCCUGAGUGGGUGACCGGCCACAUUGGGACGGGGAGACGGCCUGGACACCUACGGGAGACGGCAGUAGGGAAUAUUGAACAAUGCGCGGAGGCUUGAUGCAGCAACGCCGCGUGCGGGAUGACGGGCUUCGAGUGGUAAGCCGCUUUCGCCUGUGACGAAGCGUGAGUGGCGGUAAAGGAUAAAGAAGCACCGGCUAACUAC
rnacentral:rRNA from 1 species